rnacentral:tRNA from 2 species
GCCCUCUUAGCUCAGGGGAUAGAGCACAGGUUUCCUAAACCUGGUGUCGGAGGUUCGAAUCCUCCAGGGGGCACCA